GAGGGUAUAGCUCAGUGGUAGAGUGUGUGCUUAGCAUGCACGAGGUCCUGGGUUCAAUCCCCAGCACCUCCA
rnacentral:tRNA from 1 species